rnacentral:lncRNA from 1 species
GUGUCCCAGGUCACCAGGUCCCACCCCACCCCAGAGACCUCACCUGGAGUCUUCUCUGGCUCAACCUUGAUUUGAGGGUAAGGCAGCGGUACAUGUGUAGUAGCAGGUCAGAAAAUGGGAGAAAAGAGCACUGGGCCUCUGGACCCAAAGAGGAUGGAGUUUCAGACUCCUGAAGGCAGCAUGGUCUUGUUUGUUCCCUCCCCUUAUCCUUCCACACAUUUGUUAUGACAGCCUGUUCUAUGACCCCCACCGCUGACUGAGCAUUUUAAUGUCUAGAUAUCAAGAUACCUGCUGCUCCUGCAUCCUCCUCAACCCUCAUAGUCCUAAGAGGUGCUUCAAUCUCUAUUUUAGGAAAGGAGAAGUUGAGAUGUUCCCAAGUUUACUCAGCUAGUAAACACAACAAAUCAUUAUAUGGACUCAGAAAAGCCUGAAUCAAAUCCUUACUCUUAUCCCCUGUGCUAUAGGUCUUGGGUCACAUCAGGGUCUGCCCUAUGGGAACUCAAAGUCCAGGGAGGGAAGCAGGGUUACUUCAUUGCUAACCAUUGGUCAGCCCCUCACAGAAGCCCUGGAAUUAGGUGGGGGGACUGGGGUCAGGGGCCUCACUAUCUAGGUUGAGUGGUGGAGUGACCCCCCCAUGGAAUGAGCCUGGAGGCAGGGAGUGGGAAAAGUUCUUUCCUGCCCCAUGGCACUAACUUCCCAGAAAGUCUUCAGUGUUUUUCCUCCUCCUAUGCAAAACAGCCUGUGUAGGAGUUGGGAGUUGUGCCCUUGGCUAUAAUGUGCCCUAACCUGCUGUGGAAAGGCUGACCCAGGUAGGGGCAAGAGGGUUGGGAAGGCAUGGGAAUCCCUGGGGCAUGGUGAGGAAAGGGAGAUGAUGAAUCACUGAAAUGGACUUUUUCUGCUACCCCCUUGCAAUGUUCCUUUUAGGGUGCAAGAGAGUUCCAGGUUCAUUUAGUGCCAGCCCUUUAAGCACUCUGGGGCUCCACAGAGCUGAUGUGAUGUCUCCCUAGGUGGGACCUAUUUUCUCCACCCAUCAUCUUUCUUCAACUUCCUUCUCGUCAGUACCUAUGUAACCAGGGGGACCUGUUUCUCCCUCUCCCAGUUCCCCAUGUGAUGGCAAUAUUACUUUUAACAGCAAAAGAUACAUACACACACACACAGUGGAAUGCUACUCAGCUAUAAAAAAAGAAUGAAAUCACGCUUUUUGCGGCAACAUGGAUGGAACUGGAGGCUAUUAUCUUAAGUGAAAUUACUCAGAAAGUCAAAUACUGUGCAACCUCAUGUGUAAGUGGGAGCUACAUCAUGCAUACAGAUGGAGGUAGAGAGUAGAAUCAUAGACACUGGAGACUGUGAAGGGCAGCAGGUGAGGCGGUGGGUGAAGGAUGAGACAUUUCUUAGUGGGUACAAUGCAUGCUAUUUAGGAUGGCUUCAUUAAAAGCCCAGACUUCACCAUUGUGCCAUAUAUUCAUAUAUAUGUGUAUGCAGGUUUUUGUGUGGACAUAAGUUUUCACUUCUUUUGGGUAAAUCCCAAGGAGUGUGAUUUCUGGAUCCUAUGGUAAGAGUAUGUUUAGUUUUUUAAGAAAGCACUAAACUGUCUUCCAAAGUGGCUGUACUAUUUUGUGUUCCUGCCAUCAAUGAAUGAGAGUUCCUGUUGCUCCACAUCCUUCUUCAGCAUUUGCUGUUGUCCAGUGUUCCAGAUUUUGGGCAUUCUCAUAAGUGUGUACUGGUAUCUCAUUGUUGUUUUAAUUUGCAUUUCCUUGAGGACAUAUGAUGUGGAGCAUCUUCUGAUAUGCUUAUUUGUCACCUUCUGUAUCUUCUUUGAUGAGAUAUCUGUUAAGGUCUUUGGCCCAUUUUCUAAUUGUUUGGUUUGUGUUCUUAUCGUUGAGUUUUAAGAGUUCUUUGUAUGUUUUGGAUAACAUACAAAGUCUGAUAUGUCUUUUGUAAACAUUUUCUCCCAGUCUGUGGCUUAUCUUUUCAUUCUCUUGACAAUAUCUUUCACAAAGAGAAAUGUUAAAUUUUAAAGAAGUCCAGCUUAUGAAUUCUUUCUUUCAUGGAUUGUGCCUUGGUGUUGCCAUCUAAAAGUCAUCACCAAAACCAAGAUGAUCAAAUUUCCUCUUAUGCUACCAUCUAGGAGUUUUGUAACAUUGUGUUUGCAUGUAGGUCUAUGAUUCAUUUUGAGUUAUGUAUCAUCACUGUUUAGAAAAAAGGAACAGAGGAAAAGUAAUACAAAAGGAAUCAGGGACAACAAUAUUAAUACAAGACAACAAAGAAUUCUAAGAAAAGGGAUUAAAUGAAAAAGAAGAAUAUUUCUUAUUGAUUAGUGUGCAAGUCACCAAGAUGCGGUAGUCUUAUUCUUUUUUUUUCUUUUUCUUUUUUUUGAGACAGAAUUUCGCUCUUGUUACCCAGGUUAGAGUGUAGUGGUGUCAUCUUGGCUCACUGCAACCUCCUCCUCUUGGGUUCAAACGAUUGUCCUGCCUCAGCCUCCAGAGUAGCUGGGAUUACAGGUGCACGCCACCACAUCCAGCUAAUUUUUGUAUUUUUAGUAAAGAUGGGGUUUCAUCAUGUUGGCCAGGAUGGUCUCGAAGUCCUGACCUCAGGUAAUCCACCCUCCUUGGCCUCCCAAAGUGCUGGGAUUACAGGUGUGAGCCACCAGGCCCAGCAAUAAUAGUCCUAUCCUUAUACACAUAAGAACACAAUUUUGAAUUAUAUAAAGCAAACACUGAAAGAAAUUAAUGGAAACUGACAAACUUAUAUCACUUGGCAGGUUUUGGCAGAGUCUGCCCAGGAACUUCACAAAGCCAUCAGAUAACAAAACACCAGUAAUGGCACAGAGCAGGGCGGGCAGAUGCUGCCACAGCCCAGAAGCAGCCCCAGACACAAGUCCCCGUGAAUGAUGAUGGCUGUGUCCAAUAAACACUAACCUCCAGAAACAGGUGGCCAGCUGGAUUUGGCUUAAAGACCAUAAUUUGCUGAUUCCUGAUAUAAACUAUUUGAAGGACACACUUAAAUUUAUUUAUACACACAUACAUUCAUAAAUUCAUGCCCAACCAUAGAGAAUACACAUAAAUUUCAAACAUAUUUGAGACAUCCAAAAAACUGAUCAUUUGUUUUUGCUAAAAUGAAAAUCUCAGCAAAUUAGCCUUAAUAGGGGCCUUAUCUUUUGCACCUGCUCAUCAGGUUGAACCCUGUGAGCCCUUCCCCUGUGUCAUGUCUGGAACAAACACUCUCCAUAAACCCACCCUACUCCAUCACACAUCCAACCUCUCAGCCACUGCUGAUCCCCCAGGAGAGCUCACAACAGGCUGGUCGUGAACAGGAAUUUGGCUGGUUGAUAUCUUCAUCUCCUCCAUCGUUUUGGGGAGCUCCCCUCUCCCCAGUCUGAGGUAGAAGCAACAUACUCCUGGGUCUCUAGAAGAUCUCAAGUUGCUGGGGGAAGAGAACAGAAAGCAAUUUGUUCUUUUUGCUGUAUUUUAUCCAUUCAUUUAUGCUGUGAGUGCUGACUCUGUUCUGAGUGUGCAGGUGUCAGGGUGGCAGGGAGAUGGAUUGAAAGUGGACCGUGCUUUGAGCAAUGCUCCGGCCCCAGGAGAGAACUCCAAUGAGCCACUGGGUGGUGAGAGAGUGGAGUCGGACAGCGCCCGGAAGCCCCCAGGUCCCCAGGCAGUUCAGUGGCACUUUCUCUGUGAAGCCUUCUCCAGGCAGAGACAUCAUCCCCAUGUCCCUGCGUGUCUCAGUGACAGCCCUGGCCACACAUAUGCUAUGUUUGCUGCCACCCAGCCAUGUCUUAUAUUGUGCCCCCAGCCUCCAGUGCAGAGAACUCCAUAAACAUUGGCCAAACUAGCAAGUGAGGCAGGUGUCUUCAGAAAGGUUCAGAUAAAGUGUGUGAGAAUUUGGAAGAGGAGAAAUCACUUUUCAGGUGGGGGAACCAGGGGAAGCUUUGUAGGGGCGUCCUUUCAAUAGGCCAUAGAGCACUUCCAGGAGCCACGGUGAGAGGGACAGGGCAGAGGGAGCCACGGGAAUGUUCCGAGACAGCCAGCUGUUCUGUUUGGGGUCCUUCUGGGUGGUGUUGGCCAGCUGCAUCUCUGGACUCGUGCAGCAGUUGGGGGAGCGGGACAGAGAGACAGAGAGAGAGUUCUGCAGCAUUCACAAGAGGUUAUUAGGACUCAGUUCUGCUGUGAGCCAUCCACACUGGAGGAUGAGAACACCCAGCUGCAGCCCAGAGCCUGUGGUCCCACUGUUAGGUUUUGAAGGGAAGGCAAGGGUUAAAGAAAGACACAGAGAGAGUCGGUGGCUCUAUGGCAACACAGGUUUUACAUCCAGCACAAGACCUGAGGAGGUGGGGGACAAGCUUAAUGCCAGAGCCCCCUGCCGCUUACAGGCUGGCGUAAUUUAUAGGUCUAGGUGGGGGUCUGGGCAGUAUGGCUAGCUCGCCGGGAGGAUAUUGAUAAGAUGUUCCUGUGAUCAGGCGGUUUGGACCUUUUUCCAGCGGGAUGUGAUAGGCUGUUUCUUGGACCUUUGCCCCGCAGGAUAUGAUGGGGAUGUUCCUUCAGUUGCGCCUUUGCCCAGCAGGGUAUGAUAAGGAUGCUCUUGUGCCUUGCGGUCAGGUGGUUAGGCAGGAUGUUUCUCACGGCCUGAAUCCACAUGGAAUGUUUCACUCUGACCAGGGUCCGCAAAAUGGCAGGGGGCUUACAAAAUGGUGCAGUUUGGACUAACACCCACCAUCCUGUCGAAUGGGUUUGCUGGGAGGAUUUACUGUCAAUUCUGUUAGCCUGAUAAGGGAGGUUGCUUUCUCGGAGGCCGCAUACACAGACAGUGCUGGGAAGUGACCCAUGCGUACCCUGAGAAAUGUAUCUGUUCAACCAAAUUUCAAGUUGGCAAUGAUCAUUCUUCGUCUCGCCCAAUUUCAAGAGGAGGCUGGGCCCUGUAGGUUAAAACUGGAAAGCUGGAGAAAGCAGUGGAGGUCACUCCAGGAAGACUCCCUGGCCAAAGAGGACUGUAGGAUUCUGACUUACAGUCAGGGCUGUUUCCGUUACAGUUGGCCCCAGUCAGAGACCCAGGAUGAAACUCUGGCCCUGAGCGCGGAGAAUAGGUUUUCUGUUUCCCAAGCUUCCACACGGUGGCGCCACCGAGCACCCACCUCGCCAGAGUUGCGAGGCGGUUCCACGUGGCUGGGCCGUCCUUGCCGGUUCUCGCCCUUAUUUAGGUUGUGUGUCCCACUUCGGGCAGCAGUCUUGCAGCUUUUUAAAAAAGAGAUCUUCACCAAAAGCUCCUGAAGGGCAGAGGGCUUUUCUUAUUUAAUUUGCAUUCUUCUCUCUGCAAUGCCUACCAGAGGGCGCUGCACAAAAUCAUGUAUUGGGGAUGCAAUUGUUAAUCGAGUUGGUAGAAACAGGAAUAAAUUAAAAUAAUUAAAUUUUUAGUAAUGGUGGGUUACGUAAAUCUUGAUGCCUAUACACAUGGAAUCCCUGUGAUGAUACGAAAUGGACAUUUGGUCUUUGUCCCUGUUCCUGACACCAAGCGUCUGAAAUCCUUGGAAUCUCCCGAAUGACAGGGGAGAGGGAGCAUCUUUUGUUAUUCAUAACAACCCCCUUCCUGCCAUACUGAGUGUGUGCUAAUGAGGUGACUCUUGGUGGACCCCUAAAUAGCUUCAGGAUGGGGCUGGUUGCCAGAGGAAGCAACCAUGUGAUUACAGGGCUGGAGCUUUCAGCCCCAGGCUGGGCCUCCAGGGAGCGGCUGGGGAAGGACUUCAAUCACCAGUGGCCAAUUAUUUAAUCAACCAUGCCUAAAUGAAGUGACUGCCAUAGAAACCCCAAACGAUGGGGCUCAGAGAGCUGUCGGGCUGCUGAGUGGGUGGGGUGCCAGAAGGGUGGGCGCCUGGGGUGGGCCUUGAAGCUCCGUGCUGCCCCUCAUACAUGGCCCUGCGUGUCUCUUCCACGUGGCUUUUCCUGAGUUGCAUUCUUUGUAGUAAACCAGUAAUCAUGAGUAAAGUGCCUCCCUGAGUCCCGUGAACUCUUGUAGCAGAUUAUCUAACCUGAGGAGGGGAUUUGUAGGAACCUCCAAUUUUAGCCAGUUAGUCAGAAGUAUGGGCGGUCAGGUGCUGCGACUGGCAUCUGAAGUGGGGGCAGUGUUGUGGGGCUGAGCCUUCACCUUGUGGGGUCUGUGCUAACUCUGGGUAGUUAGGAUCAGAACGGAAUUGCAUGAUACCCCGACAGUGUUCAGACAGUUGGAGAAUUGGUUGGUGUGGGGAUUUUUAAAAAAGGAAAUAUAACCCCCACACAUUUGGCAUCAGAAGUGUUGUGAGUCAGAAUGGUUCAGGAAUUCCAUACAAUGUAGCUAUCUAGAAUCAAGCACUCAGAAAAUAUUUAAGAACUGGGGAAAUGUUUUAAAAAUAGUCCUAAUUGAAAAAGCAGAUGAUAAAGCAGCCGGGAAAAGGCAAAGCCGUGCCACAGGGUGGACGUGGAGUGGGGGUGGGGAGGGGGUUAAUGUGACAUGAUUGCUCCACAUGAGACAAGGCCACAGAACUCAGGAAACAAAGCUUGUUUUGAGCAAGAGUCCUGUCAGAUUUUGACAGGAGGCAGAGCAGAGAGAAGAUAUCUUUACAUAGGUGAAGCUAACAGUUCAUGAUAAAGUGUUCUCAGCCUUCACAUUCACAGUCAACAGAUUUUCAACAAGCCCGCCAAGCCAAUUCAAUGGAGAAAGAAUAGUCUUUCCAACAAAUGAUGCUGGGACAAGUGGACAGCCACAUGCAAAAUAAUGAAGCUGGACCCCUUCCUUCCUUCAUACGCACAAAUUAACUCAGAAUAGGUCACAGCCCUACACAUAAGAGCUAAAACAAACUCUUAGAAGAAAAUAUAGAAGUAAAUCUUCAAGACUGAGGUCUUGAAUAUCUUUGCAUAUGCUACUGAGGCUUUAUGACUUUACUUUCCACAGUUAGACCUACAAUCCACUUGGAAUUGUCAUUUUGUCUGCUUGUGUGGUCUAGUUUCAUGAGCAUGAGCAUCCAGUUGAUCCAGUAAAAUGUAUUGAGAAGCUUGUGCUCAGCAGUGCCACUUUUGUCACAGAAUAAAUAUACCAUACGUGUGUGUCUUUUUCUCAGGCCUCUAUUUAGUUCUGUUGAUCUAUGUGACUGUCAUUGAACCAGCCCAGCAGUAUCUGUUACCAGGGCUAUUGUGAUAAAUCUUAACAUCUAGUACUGUAGAUCCUCCCAUCUUUUUCAUAAUUGUCUUGGGUAUUAUUGGCCUUUCCAUAUGUUUUUUAGAGUUAACUUGUCAAUUUCUACAAAAAUUCCAGCAAGGACUUUGGGAUUGGGAUUGCACUGAAUCUACAGGUUGUGUUUGGGAGAACUGACAGCUUUACAAUAGCAGAGUGUUCCAGUCCAUGAACGUGGUAUAUCCCUUACUAAAAACCUUUCAGUCGUUUCCCAUCCUGCUUAAAGUUCAAAUUUUGCGAAGUCCUCAUUGGCUUGUCCUCUGCCUGCCGCUCAGACCUCAUUUCCUGUCUCUCUGAACUCCAUUUACACCACUCCAGCCCUUCUUUCUGCCCCUCCGUCAGCCCAGGCUGGCUCCUACCUGAGCACUUCUGUUCCAGCUCUUUCCUCUAACCAUCGAGCCCUUCUCCUGCUCUCCCCAAGGUUGGAUCCCCUGUUAUUUAUUCUGAGCCAAAUAUAAGUGACCGUGGCCCAUGACACAGGCCGAGGAGGGUGGAUCACCUGAGGUCAGGAGUUGGAGACCAGCCUGGCCAACAUGGCAAAACCCCAUCUCUUCUAAAAAUACAAAAAUUAGCCAGGUGUGGUGGUGGGUGCCUGUAUUCCCAGCUACUCGGGAGGCUGAAGCAGGAGAAUCACUUGAACCCAGGAGGCAGAGGUUACAGUGAGCUGAGAUCGCACCACUGCACUCCAGCCAGGGAGAUAGAGCGAGACUCGGUCUCAAAAAAAAAAAAGAAAGAAAGAAAGAUUUAAAAGGUCUGUAAAGAAGAAAGUAUGAAUAAGCUAGUGAGAACUGGCAAAAAUCCCAAAAGGAGCCUCAAUAUUUAAUCAGUAUAACCUGAUUCAUUGUAUUGAGUACUAUACUACAUUUCUUUAAUUUUUAAGAUAAUUGCUUUAUCCUCUCCACCCCAACUCCACUGCCCUCUUAGCUAGCAAUUGAAUAUUAUCCUUCUUGAGGUCUUUCCAAUCCUUGAGUUUUCUAAAACCCUGGGUGGGAGCGGGCUUGGGGUCAGGGGUGCUUAAGGGUCAAUUGUGGGUAAACUUCUGAAGACUAAAUUAUGAUUUUUUUUAUCUUGCCCAAAUUCCUAUCUAAAGAAUCUGAGGAGUCAACCCCUACAAACCAUAAAUUCUCAUCAGAUGGGUUUGAUUUAACCCUAUAUAUCAUGACUUACUUUCCAUGCUGACUCUGGUAUAACAUUACAAGGCAAGGAGGAAAAUCAAAAUAUUUUACCCCAAAAACAUGUUUCUUUGUCACAAGUUGAAAUGGCCCUGCAAGCUUUGUCCUUUUAGGGGAAAAUUCACAUCUGUGAAAAAUCUCUAUUAACAUAGCUAGACCUUUUUCUUCCAGGCCCCUCCAAUUCUGAAUAGAUUAGCUAAGAGUCUAGCACCUUUUGAAGGGUCUGAAUACCAAACAUUUUGCCAACUCUUCUUU